GACGAACGCUGGCGGCGUGCCUAAUACAUGCAAGUCGAACGGUCUUUUCUAUGGAAGCUUGCUUCCACUGAGAAGAUAGUGGCGAACGGGUGAGUAACACGUGGGUAACCUGCCCAUAAGAGGGGGAUAACAUCCGGAAACGGGUGCUAAUACCGCAUAGUUUUCUUGAUCGCAUGAUCGGGAAAGGAAAGACGGCCUUUGUGCUGUCGCUUAUGGAUGGACCCGCGGCGUAUUAGUUAGUUGGUGAGGUAAUGGCUCACCAAGACGAUGAUACGUAGCCGACCUGCGAGGGUGAUCGGCCACAUUGGGACUGAGACACGGCCCAAACUCCUACGGGAGGCAGCAGUAGGGAAUCUUCCGCAAUGGACGAAAGUCUGACGGAGCAACGCCGCGUGAGUGAAGAAGGUUUUCGGAUCGUAAAACUCUGUUGUCAGAGAAGAACAAGUUGGAGAGUAACUGCUCCAGCCUUGACGGUAUCUGACCAGAAAGCCACGGCUAACUACGUGCCAGCAGCCGCGGUAAUAC
rnacentral:rRNA from 1 species